AGUGAACGCUGGCGGUAGGCCUAACACAUGCAAGUCGAACGGCAGCACAGUAAGAGCUUGCUCUUACGGGUGGCGAGUGGCGGACGGGUGAGGAAUACAUCGGAAUCUACUUUUUCGGGGGGGAUAACGUAGGGGAACUUACGCUAAUACCGCAUACGACCUACGGGUGAAAGCAUGGGAUCUUCGGACCUUGCGCGAUUGAAUGAGCCGAUGUCGGAUUAGCUAGUUGGCGGGGUAAAGGCCCACCAAGGCGACGAUCCGUAGCUGGUCUGAGAGGAUGAUCAGCCACACUGGAACUGAGACACGGUCCAGACUCCUACGGGAGGCAGCAGUGGGGAAUAUUGGACAAUGGGCGCAAGCCUGAUCCAGCCAUACCGCGCGGGUGAAGAAGGCCUUCGGAUUGUAAAGCCCUUUUGUUGGGAAAGAAAAGCAGCAGGUUAAUACCCCGCUGUUCUGACGGUACCCAAAGAAUAAGCACCGGCUAACUUCGUG
rnacentral:rRNA from 1 species